ACGGGAGGCAGCAGUGGGGAAUAUUGCACAAUGGGGGAAACCCUGAUGCAGCGACGCCGCGUGAGCGAAGAAGUAUUUCGGUAUGUAAAGCUCUAUCAGCAGGGAAGAAGAAAUGACGGUACCUGACUAAGAAGCACCGGCUAAAUACGUGCCAGCAGCCGCGGUAAUACGUAUGGUGCAAGCGUUAUCCGGAUUUACUGGGUGUAAAGGGAGCGCAGGCGGUACGGCAAGUCUGAUGUGAAAGCCCGGGGCUCAACCCCGGUACUGCAUUGGAAACUGUCGGACUAGAGUGUCGGAGGGGUAAGUGGAAUUCCUAGUGUAGCGGUGAAAUGCGUAGAUAUUAGGAGGAACACCAGUGGCGAAGGCGGCUUACUGGACGAUGACUGACGCUGAGGCUCGAAAGCGUGGGGAGCAAACAGGAUUAGAUACCCUGGUA
rnacentral:rRNA from 1 species